rnacentral:rRNA from 1 species
AGUGAACGCUGGCGGUAGGCCUAACACAUGCGAGUCGAACGGCAGCACAGUAAGAGCUUGCUCUUACGGGUGGCGAGUGGCGGACGGGUGAGGAAUACAUCGGAAUCUACUUUUUCGGGGGGGAUAACGUAGGGAAACUUACGCUAAUACCGCAUACGACCUACGGGUGAAAGCAGGAGAUCUUCGCACCUUGCGCGAUUGAAUGAGCCGAUGUCGGAUUAGCUAGUUGGCGGGGUAAAGGCCCACCAAGGCGACGAUCCGUAGCUGGUCUGAGAGGAUGAUCAGCCACACUGGAACUGAGACACGGUCCAGACUCCUACGGGAGGCAGCAGUGGGGAAUAUUGCACAAUGGGCGCAAGCCUGAUCCAGCCAUACCGCGUGGGUGAAGAAGGUCUUCGGGUUGUAAAGCCCUUUUGUUGGGAAAGAAAAGCAGCAGGUUAAUCCCCCCCUGUUCUGACGGUACCCAAAGAAUAAGCACCGGCUAACUUCGUG